rnacentral:rRNA from 1 species
UACGAAGGGGGCUAGCGUUGCUCGGAAUCACUGGGCGUAAAGCGCACGUAGGCGGAUCGUUAAGUCAGGGGUGAAAUCCUGGAGCUCAACUCCAGAACUGCCUUUGAUACUGGCGACCUUGAGUUCGGGAGAGGUGAGUGGAACUGCGAGUGUAGAGGUGAAAUUCGUAGAUAUUCGGAGGAACACCAGUGGCGAAGGCGGCUCACUGGUCCGGUACUGACGCUGAGGUGCGAAAGCGUGGGGAGCAAACAGG